rnacentral:lncRNA from 1 species
UCCUCAGCAGUUAUUCCAUGACUGGUGAGGGGAUAAAUCUUUAAACUCUAUUCAUGACCGUGUGGUCUGAGAACUGCUCCUGUCGAAAGUAUCCCUUUCUUGCCUUUUUAUUAUUUUUGUCUGAGCGUUGGACUCUCAUGUAUGUUUUUUGCCCCUGAGUAUUUAUGGGUUAUCUUCUCUCGAGCGAUUUGCGGGCUCUUUGUUGCCUGGACCUUUCUCUAGGUCAGCUGAGUUGGUUUAGUGUGAGCGGUCAAUCUUCGAGGUCGUUGCCUCUCAUGAUUGCCCUUGAUUCUCUGUUUGGCUUUGUAUUUUGGUAUGCAGUUUGCUUAGGAAUCGCCUUGCCUUAAUUCGGUCUGUCUUAUCGGGUUUACCAGUACUGCGCUCGUUUUCUUGAGAUCGGCAUGAUGCUUUGGUAUUUUUGGCUGUUGUGUGAGAUUAAAGUCUCUCUAUCUGAUGACUUGAGCUCCUUUGGAAGGUCGGAGUUUAGCUUUUCAUUUAUGGUCCCGUGCCCCAAUCUUUUAUGUGAGAUCAGAACUAUGUUCUUUAUGAGUUGUUUUUGCUUGU